UGGCUCUCGCAUCGAUGAAGAACGCAGCGAAAUGCGAUAAGUAAUGUGAAUUGCAGAAUUCAGUGAAUCAUCGAAUCUUUGAACGCACCUUGCGCCCUUUGGUAUUCCGAAGGGCACACCUGUUUGAGUGUCAUGUUAACCUCAAUUCAUCAGCUUUGCGGCUGCUUGGAUUGGAUUUGGAAGUCUGCUGGCCCCUCUUGGGGUUGGCUCUUCUUGAAUGCAUGAGUGAGCAUCUGGCUCGCGUUGCUGAUGUGAUAGUCUUUCAUCAUUGGCUGCGCUUGUCUAACGGGCUUGCUUUCGAACCGUCUUCUCAAUGGAGACAACGUUUUUGACAUUUUUGACCUCAAAUCAGGUGGGACUACCCGCUGA
rnacentral:misc_RNA from 1 species